rfam:Pan troglodytes isolate Yerkes chimp pedigree #C0471 (Clint) chromosome 19, whole genome shotgun sequence.
AGCAGUGUAGCCUAGUGGCUAGGUCCUCUGACUUUGAAACCACGUGGUCUGGGUUUAAGUCCCAGCUGUGCUA